rnacentral:rRNA from 1 species
ACUCCUACGGGAGGCAGCAGUGGGAAUAUUGCACAAUGGGGAAAGCCAUCGAUGCAGCCAUGCCGCGCUGUGUGAAGAAGGCCAAUUCGGGGCUUUGGUUAAAGACACUUUUCAGUAGGGAGGAAGGUAGUGUAGUUAACACCUGCAUUAUUUGACGUUACCUACAGAAGAAGCACCGGCUAACUCCGUGCCAGCAGCCGCGGUAAUACGGAGGGUGCGAGCGUUAAUCGGAAUUACUGGGCGUAAAGCGCAUGCAGGCGGCCUGUUAAGUCAGAUGUGAAAGCCC